GAGCUGCCGCCCCGGGAGCGCUGCCUGCCCCGGCUGCGCGGUGCACGUGUGUUUAUUUAAACAGCCACUUCCCUGUUCCGCCGGGAGUCCGGCGCCCGUGAGCUGGUGGGGGUAGUGCAGGGCAGAAAUCGAAAAGCUGGGAAUCAGGAGUAAUUUCUUCGCAGAAGGGGUGAUUAGGCACUGGAAUGGGCUGCCCAAGGAGAUGGUGGAGUUCAAGGGAAGACUGGAUGUGGCAUUCAGUGCCGUGGUCUUCUUGACCACGGUGGUGCUGGCUCGCAGGUUGGACGAGAUCAGCCCCAGAGAUCUUUUUCAACCUGAUUGAUUCUUGUGACUCUGCAAAGCACAGCCUGUCGGGAGAAAGUGAAUUAAUUCAGGGGGAUUUUUCCCAAAUCCGUUUUCAUAAGAGCACACGUUUUUACUGUGCUGGCGCCGUGUGGAAUGGGGGAGGAAGAAUGAAGGAGUGCCGAGAAGAGCGCUGGCAGCCCGGAACGCGCGCUGCACAUGCAGGGCGGUGUGCUCCAGCGACCCUGCUGGUGUGAGGCGCGGCAGCGUCCCUGUGCCAGACAGCUGCUCGGGCGGGAGCCCAGCCCGCUUUGGGGCGAGCCCCGCCGAGACUGGCUUUGCUCAGCUCUUGUUUGCAUGAAGUCAUCUUUGUUUUAGAAUCACACUGAAGCAGCCAUGUACUGGUUCCAGUGCUCCUAUUUGAAGCGUGUGUAAUAAAACGGCAGAGCAACAGGGAAGAGAGCUACAUCUGGAAAAUGCACUGCAACACAGUGGAACUUGGAAAGAUGUCAGUGUUCUGCACUGUGAAAGCUGAGCCCAAAGAGCAUGUAAAGGAAAAUAACUGCAGAAAACAAAUAAAGAAUGCCACUGGACAUUCCAAACUGUUUUUUCACAGGACUGUACUUCGAAUGAUGUAGAUUUUAGUCAGCAAUAUGGGGUUGUGGAAUGCAUAUGAAUCAUUCACCUAAGGCUCUGUCUUUAUUUUAAACUUCAUGCAUCUUAUUGUGGACUUGCUUUGAAACAGAAGAGGAUUGUUUACAGGCUGAAUUUAUAAUAACUGAAGGAAUAGAAGACACCAGACAGCAACUUGUUGAGCAGAAAUUGAAGUGUCAAGGAUCAUCUGUUACAUUUCAUUCCUUUUGCCCAUCUGAAAGAAACUGCGAACAUGAAGAACAAAAAAUGAUGUGACCAAGCCUAUAGCUUUUCUUGGACAUUAGUUUUGAAUAACAUGGACAUAAUAGUGUUACUCAUAAAGAAUAAGAUGGUGAAAUCCAGUUUUAAAGGUGAAUAUCAAUAAACUUUAUCACAAAAGGAUAACCAAAAUACUUCUAAAUCUUCAAGAUAAUAAACUGAUGGGGGAAUUAAGUCUGCAAUUUAAUACAACUAAGAUUAAGAAAAGUAAAAUGAAGCAGUACCUGAAUUCUUGAAUUAAAUUGCAUGUAGAGUGAAGCUGUGCCAACAGUAAUAGCAGUAAACUAAAACAGAGUAAUUAAAGAGUGUCUGUGUUAAGGAGCUUCCUUUUAUGCACCAAAAUUUGCUUUUUCCUGUAUC